CAAUAGCGUAUAUUAAAGUUGUUGCGGUUAAAAAGCUCGUAGUUGGAUUUCUGCCGAGGACGACCGGUCCGCCCUCCGGGUGAGUAUCUGGCUCGGCCUGGGCAUCUUCUUGGAGAACGUAGCUGCACUUGGCUGUGUGGUGCGGUAUUCAGGACUUUUACUUUGAGGAAAUUAGAGUGUUUCAAGCAGGCAUACGCCUUGAAUACAUUAGCAUGGAAUAAUAAGAUAGGACCUCGGUUCUAUUUUGUUGGUUUCUAGAUCUGAGGUAAUGAUUAAUAGGGAUAGUUGGGGGCAUUCGCAUUUAACUGUCGGAGGUGAAAUUCUUGGAUUUGUUAAAGACGGACUACUGCGAAAGCAUUUGCCAAGGAUGUUUUCAUUGA
rnacentral:rRNA from 1 species